UUAUGGCAUUUCUCUCCUGUAUCAGGCUGCUUUUAUUAGAUUCCAUUGAUUCCCACCAGGAAAUGCACUUGAUUCCUUCCGGACUUGAUGGAUGGCCUGAUCAAAUGACUAGGGAAGUCCCCAAGUGGAGCCCUCACAAGGUGCUCGGAGGACAGAAGCACCGUGGUUUGCAGCCACUCGACUGCUGCAGGCCUGGACCAACGGUUGGUCCACGGAUGGGAUCAUAAAGAGGCAGCGGCACAACUGCAAAUACUCGUGAGGAGGUGCUGUCGGUCGAGGUGUAUGCUUUCAGAGUGGCGGUGGAAGGCGUUGGUUUGGCCAACCUCGGGCGCAUGGUCACGGGCUCACGGCGCGGCUGGGAGGCAAUGGGCAAAACGUCGCUCGACGUCUGCUUGCCGAGAUGACCGCUGUCCGUCAGCAUCCGGGGAAAUUCAGAGUGCAGGCACGCGCUCGCGGCGGAUACAGCAAACCUGUCGGCCAUGAACCGGGAGGUGCACUCCGUCCGACCUAUUUCACAACUUCUUUUUUGUGUCCUUCGCUUUUACGUCUAAAAGGCAAAAUCGUGGGUUUUGCUACUAUUCUCGCUAUAUACUCC